CCAACGUUUCAAUCGUCGCGACUAGCUCGAGGACACUACUAAAGUCCGCGCAUAUCGCCCGAUAUUGAGUCUACGUCGUAGACCCAACUCUUUUGCCAUAUGGACUCUACGGCAAAAGAGUUGAGUAUGCGCAGAUAUGUUGGUACCCGUAAGAUGGUGAGCUAUAUGCCGGAAUAGGAGAAACUCGGGCGGAAAUCCUAGCGAUUCUGACGUGCACAUUGAUCGUCAGACUUGAUUUAGGGAAUUGAACCAUCUAGUAGCUGG
rnacentral:ncRNA from 1 species